rnacentral:lncRNA from 10 species
AAAUGAAUGAAUCACAGUCCUGGUCCUCAAAGAUAGCCAUACUGAAGGAGAUGGACAUGAACAUAAAGAACCUCCAUGCUGAAUGAGAAGCCCAUCACAGCCCAUGAUGACCUGUAUAAUGUGCUUCUGGGAGAAAAGAAGUCUCAAAACCUAAGGGAGAUACCCAGAGUAAUUUCUCUAAGGAGUUGUUUGAGAUUGAUUGAAGACCUCAAUUGUGAGAAAAAACAAACUCAGAGAGGGCAGAGAAAGGCAACUGAGACCUUGCCAUACAAUGCCUUGGUGGGAUGGACUUUCUGGUAAACCUUGUGUUAACUCCUCAAGGAAAUGCCUGGGCAUAUACCAGAAUAGUGUCUGACAGUGUGAUGCAACCUAAUGCUGCCUCUACUUGCUGGAAUUUUACUUUGUGCCUCUGGGUGGUAAUUAGGGAUUGUUUGAUCUGAGUCAAUAAAAUACUAUUCAAUUUCCCCUGCAGACAUCAGAGAUGCAUUUAUUACAGUAAAAAUAUUUUCCCAUGCCACUAUUUGAAUUUAAAGCAUACAUGUCUGCUCAUUUAAUUUCUAGCUACUUACACCAGCUUUUUAACAUAUAGACUAAGUGCAAAUUAAAAACACAAGGACAUUACUCAUGUUUCUGGAGGUAAAGAUGG